rnacentral:rRNA from 1 species
GGUAUGGGAUGAGCUUGCGUCCGAUUAGCUAGUUGGCGGGGCAACGGCCCACCAAGGCGACGAUCGGUAGCCGGCCUGAGAGGGUGAUCGGCCACAUUGGGACUGAGAUACGGCCCAGACUCCUACGGGAGGCAGCAGUAGGGAAUAUUGCACAAUGGGGGAAACCCUGAUGCAGCAACGCCACGUGUGGGAAGAAGCAUUUCGGUGUGUAAACCACUGUCGUGAGGGAAUAAGGCGUCUUCUCGGAGGCGUUGAAUGUACCUCGAAAGGAAGCACCGGCAAACUUCGUGCCAGCAGCCGCGGUAAUACGAGGGGUGCAAGCGUUGUUCGGAAUCACUGGGCGUAAAGGGAGCGUAGGCGGAGAUGCAAGCGGACUGUACAAUACCGGGACCCAACCCCGGGCCUGCAGUUCGGACUGCACCUCUUGGAUAGUUCAGGGGCAGGC